AUUGAACGCUGGCGGCAGGCCUAACACAUGCAAGUCGAACGGAGUGGCGGACGGGUGAGUAGUGUCUGGGAAACUGCCUGAUGGAGGGGGAUAACUACUGGAAACGGUAGCAAAUACCGCAUACUAUCAUAUGAGCCUAGGUCGGAUUAUCUAGUUGGUGGGGUAAAGGCCUACCAAGGCGACGAUCCGUAACUGGGCUGAGAGGGUGAUCAGUCAAAAUGGAACUUAGACACGGUCCAAACUCCUACGGGAGGCAGCAGUGGGGAAUAUUGGAGAAUGGGCGAAAGCCUUAUCCAGCCAUGCCGCGUGUGGGAAGAAGGUCUUCGGAUUGUAAAGCACUUUAAGUUGGGAGGCGUUACCAACAGAAUAAGCACCGGCUAACUUCGUGCCAGCCGCCGCGGUAAUAC
rnacentral:rRNA from 1 species